rnacentral:rRNA from 1 species
AGGGCACCACCAGGAGUGGAGCCUGCGGCUUAAUUUGACUCAACACGGGAAAACUCACCCGGCCCGGACACUGUAAGGAUUGACAGACUGAGAGCUCUUUCUUAAUUCAGUGGGUGGUGGUGCAUGGCCGUUCUUAGUUGGUGGAGCGAUUUGUCUGGUUAAUUCCGAUAACGAACGAGACCCUGGCCUAUUAAAUAGACGAGGUAUUUACAUGUAUCUCGCGCUUCUUAGAGGGACAAGCGGCGUCUAGUCGCAUGAAAAAGAGCAAUAACAGGUCUGUGAUGCCCUUAGAUGUCCGGGGCCGCACGCGCGCUACACUGAAGUGAUCAGCAUGCGUCCGUUUCCCGCUCCGUCAGGAGUGGGUAACCCCUUGAACCUUCUUCGUGAUAGGGAUUGGGCUUUGUAACUAUCGCCCAUGAACGAGGAAUUCCCAGUAAGUGCGAGUCAUCAGCUUGCAUUGAUUACGUCCCUGCCCUUUGUACACACCGCCCGUCGCUAUUACCGAUUGAAUGAUUUAGU